rnacentral:rRNA from 1 species
GACGAACGCUGGCGGCGUGCUUAACACAUGCAAGUCGAACGGAAAGGCCAUGCCUUUGUGGGGUGCUCGAGUGGCGAACGGGUGAGUAACACGUGAGUAACCUGCCCUUGACUUUGGGAUAACUUCAGGAAACUGGGGCUAAUACCGGAUAGGAGCUACUGCUGCAUGGGGGGGGUUGGAAAGUUUCGGCGGUGGGGGAUGGACUCGCGGCUUAUCAGCUUGUUGGUGGGGUAGUGGCUUACCAAGGCCUUGACGGGUAGCCGGCCUGAGAGGGUGACCGGCCACAUUGGGACUGAGAUACGGCCCAGACUCCUACGGGAGGCAGCAGUGGGGAAUAUUGCACAAUGGGCGGAAGCCUGAUGCAGCGACGCCGCGUGCGGGAUGACGGCCUUCGGGUUGUAAACCGCUUUCGCCAGUGACGAAGCGAGAGUGGCGGUAAUGGGUAAAGAAGCACCGGCUAACUACGUG